CAACAGGUUGAUAUUCCUGUACUAGAGUAUGUAGUGAUGGAGGGACGCAGUAGGCUAACUAAAGCAGACGAUUGGAAGAGUCUGUCUAAGCAGUGAGGUGUGAUAUGAGUCAAAUGCUUAUAUCUGUAACAUUGAGCUGUGAUGGGGAGCGAAGUUUAGUAGCGAAGUUAGUGACGUCACACUGCCAAGAAAAGCUUCUAGCGUUUAAACAUACUCUACCCGUACCGCAAACCGACACAGGUAGUCGAGGCGAGUAGCCUCAGGUGAGCGAGAGAACUCUCGUUAAGGAACUCGGCAAAAUGACCCCGUAACUUCGGGAGAAGGGGUGCUGACUUUAAGUCAGCCGCAGUGAAUAGGCCCAAGCAACUGUUUAUCAAAAACACAGCUCUCUGCUAAAUCGUAAGAUGAUGUAUAGGGGGUGACGCCUGCCCGGUGCUGGAAGGUUAAGAGGAGUGCUUAGGAGUAAUCCGAAGGUAUGAAUUGAAGCCCCAGUAAACGGCGGCCGUAACUAUAACGGUCCUAAGGUAGCGAAAUUCCUUGUCGGGUAAGUUCCGACCCGCACGAAAGGCGUAAUGAUUUGGGCACUGUCUCAACGAGAGACUCGGUGAAAUUUUAGUACCUGUGAAGAUGCAGGUUACCCGCGACAGGACGGAAAGACCCCAUGGAGCUUUACUGUAGCUUGAUAUUGAGUGUUUGUAUGGCAUGUACAGGAUAGGUAGGAGCUGAAGAAGUGUGGACGCCAGUCUACACGGAGGCGCUGGUGGGAUACUACCCUUGUGAUGCGGACCCUCUAACCCACGUGUAACAGCACGGGAGACAGUGUCAGGUGGGCAGUUUGACUGGGGCGGUCGCCUCCUAAAGAGUAACGGAGGCGCCCAAAGGUUCCCUCAGAAUGGUUGGAAAUCAUUCGUAGAGUGUAAAGGCAGAAGGGAGCUUGACUGCGAGACCUACAAGUCGAGCAGGGACGAAAGUCGGGCUUAGUGAUCCGGUGGUACCGUAUGGAAGGGCCAUCGCUCAACGGAUAAAAGCUACCCUGGGGAUAACAGGCUUAUCACUCCCAAGAGUUCACAUCGACGGAGUGGUUUGGCACCUCGAUGUCGGCUCAUCGCAUCCUGGGGCUGAAGUCGGUCCCAAGGGUUGGGCUGUUCGCCCAUUAAAGCGGUACGCGAGCUGGGUUCAGAACGUCGUGAGACAGUUCGGUCCCUAUCCGUCGCGGGCGUUGGAAAUUUGAGAGGAGCUGUCCUUAGUACGAGAGGACCGGGAUGGACACACCGCUGGUGUACCAGUUGUUCUGCCAAGAGCAUCGCUGGGUAGCUAUGUGUGGACGGGAUAAACGCUGAAAGCAUCUAAGCGUGAAGCCCCCCUCGAGAUGAGAUUUCCCAUCAUUUUAAAUGAGUAAGACCCCUGAGAGACGAUCAGGUAGAUAGGCUAGAAGUGGAAGUGCCGCGAGGCAUGGAGCGGACUAGUACUAAUCGGUCGAGGACUUAACCAC
rnacentral:rRNA from 1 species